AAUCAACGCUGGCGGCGUGCCUCAGACAUGCAAGUCGAACGCGAAAGUCCCCUCGGGGACGAAGUAGAGUGGCGCACGGGUGAGUAACACGUAGGUAAUCUACCUUUGGAUGGGGAAUAACAACCGGAAACGGUUGCUAAUACCGCAUAAUGCAGCGGCACCUAAUGGUGACAGUUGUUAAAGCGGGGGAGUCGAAAGACCUCGCGUCUAAAGAGGAGCCUGCGGCGGAUUAGCUAGUUGGUAAGGAAUGGCUUACCAAGGCUACGAUCCGUAACCGGCCUGAGAGGGCGGUCGGUCACACUGACACUGACAUACGGGUC
rnacentral:rRNA from 1 species